UCCCUGCUGGUCCAGUGGUUAAGACUCUGCGCUCCUGAUGCAGAGGGCCUGGGUUCAAUCCCUGGUCAGGGAA